GCGUUUUGCAAUCCUGUUUGGAAAGUGACUACUUGUCUCCGGAACCAGAGGUCGGAGGUUCAAAUCCUCUCAGGCGCGCCA
rnacentral:tRNA from 1 species